CGCUGGCGGCGUGCUUAACACAUGCAAGUCGAACGAUGAAGAGCAGCUUGCUGCUUGGAUUAGUGGCGCACGGGUGAGUAAUAUAUAGGUAAUGUGCCUCUUAGUCUGGGAUAGCCAUUGGAAACGAUGAUUAAUACUGGAUACUCCUUCUAACUCUAAUGUUAGUCGGGAAAGUUUUUCGCUAAGAGAUCAGCCUAUAUCCCAUCAGUUAGUUGGUAAGGUAACGGCUUACCAAGGCAAUGACGGGUAGCGGGUUUGAGAGGAUGAUCCGCCACACUGGUACUGAGACACGGACCAGACUCCUACGGGAGGCAGCAGUGAGGAAUAUUGCACAAUGGGGGAAACCCUGAUGCAGCAACGCCGCGUGGAGGAUGACGCAUUUCGGUGUGUAAACUCCUUUUAUAUGUCAAGAAAAUGACGGUAGCAUAUGAAUAAGCACCGGCUAACUCCGUGCCAGCAGCCGCGGUAAUACGGAGGGUGCAAGCGUUACUCGGAAUCACUGGGCGUAAAGGACGCGUAGGCGGAUUGGAAAGUCAGAUGUGAAAUCCUACAGCUUAACUGUAGAACUGCAUUUGAAACUUCUAAUCUAGAGUAUGGGAGGGGGAGAUGGAAUUAGUGGUGUAGGGGUAAAAUCCGUAGAUAUCACUAGGAAUACCGAAAGCGAAGGCGAUCUCCUGGAACAUUACUGACGCUAAGGCGUGAAAGCGUGGGGAGCAAACAGGAUUAGAUACCCUGGUAGUCCACGCCCUAAACGAUGAACACUAGUCGUCGGGAUGCUUGUCAUCUCGGUGAUGCACUUAACAGAUUAAGUGUUCCGCCUGGGGAGUACGGUCGC
rnacentral:rRNA from 1 species